GUUUCAAUCAUCUGCUGCCUCGUCUACAGUCCCAGUGAGGUGAGAUGGAUCCUACCACGUCAGGAGCGUCUUCUGGUUGACGUUGUAGAGGUGGAUGGAGGUGUUGGUCAUCAGCGUGGGGCAGCUGACUACAACGUCCCGGGUGGUGUUGUAGUCCCUCAGGACGGAAGCGCAGCGACUGUCCUGGACCCCGCCCAGUGAACGUCCCUCACUGUGGACGUCACACAGCUUCAGGAAGAUGGCCUCCACCAGCCUGCUGACUUUAGGGGACUGAGCAGCGCCCGCACCUUUGCCUAGAAAGGAACUGCACACAACCAGAACCCAGCGUUCAAGGACAGAAACAGACAUGAGGAGACACAUUUAAUAUCUAUGACUCAUAUCUAUGAUUUAAAUCUUACCGCUGCACGCUGUCCACGCCGGCAAUGCUGCUUGACCGCGAGCUCUUAAAGCGGCCUGUCACCAACCGGCGCGGGGGGAAGGCAUCUGGUGCCUUGUCAUGAUCCAGCAGCUUCUCCCACAAGGCGACGAUCUCUCUGGCCUUUAGCUGCGUCACAUACGUGUGAUGACACAGCUCUCCUAUGGCGUGGGCCAGAGCGGUGACGUGCUGGUACCCGCUACGUCCAUCUGGGCCAAGUGCAUCCUGUAAAUGCAAAAGAAUAAAAAGAUGGAAUAAAUAUCCACAUCGUAACCAAAAAGACACAAUCAAAUGGUAGGUUAUGUCUAAUCACCCUCUGCGACAUCCAUUCCCGUCUCCAACUCCAAACUGAUAGGAAGGUCACAGCUGAAUGGUUAAAGCUGUAAUUCAGGACUGUGUGUAGAUGUAAGGCCAAUUCCUGUGUGAUUUUGUCCUUCUGAGAUAUUGGCAUUCUAAUAGUGUCAUUUCCUGGAGGGGAACACUGCCUACCAGAAAUUGUAAUAAUAAAAGUAGUAAAAGUAAUUUUUAUGUGUGAACAACACCCUUGUGACAAAAUGGUGGCCGUAGCAGGUGGGUGGAGUUAUAUGGCUGAUCCAGGUUGGUCAAUUCAAUUCAGGUGGGUGGGGCUUAGUGCAGAUUCACAUAAAUACAGUCGGAUUUGUGAGGGACCUCCAUUUUGCCUUUGGACCCCCUUUGGAUCAGGACUCCUUUCUGCUUUUGGACCUUCUUGGAUUUGGACUCUUUUCUGCUUUUGGACCUCCUUGGAUAAGAACUCUUUUCUGCUUUGUUUAAAGAAAGGAGUUUUGGAAGACAUGGAAUCUCGAAAAAAUAGCAAAAAGGAUCGCCGCAUUGUUCACUGCCUUCUGUGCCAGAAGCCUCAGGACAGCUUGCCCACCCACCUUCUCAGAACCUGCAUGAAAAAUGCUUCUCCUGAAGAAAGACAGGCAGAGGUGAAGAGAGCCAAAGAAAGUAUGAGAACCUGGACUCGCUACCAGCGCAACUGGGACUACAUGGACUUGUGCAGCAUUUUCCCUGACCAGGUCACCAGAUGGAACAUGGUCCGAAACCUGAGGGAAAGGGGCUUCUUUGUGUCUGGUGCGCCCUCUGACCAGGAUAUCGAGGAGGCAGCGGCCAGGCGGGAGAGGGCGGCUGCAACGGCCAUCAGGACAACGCGGGCCACUGUUUCUAGUACCACUCCUACUAUGGAAGCGGUGCCUGCAGUAGGCAAAAGCACUGGGGCUUCAGAAUCAUCUGAAUCCGAUGGUGGUGACGCUGGGGAUUCAACAAGUCCUUUGAUGACAAACAAGGAGAGGGAGUUGUGGCACCAAGCAUUUUGCAAAGGGCUCGAUUAUAUGUGACUGCCACAGAGAACUGAUCUGUGGUGAGGAAGGUGACGCCAUCCUAAAGGCCACACCACAAGAUACCAUGGGAUAUUUGAAUCGUUCGAGGAAGAACCCCAACGCUAAACCUCUCCACUGCAAAAUACAGUUUAGCAGUGGAGUGAAGGACACCUUGUUGCUCGUGGCAGCAAAAUACAUUGCUGUGGGUGAUGAACUCAAAUGUGAUUAUGGGGUGAAUAGGAAGUCCUUUCGUGGGGAAGGACUUGACCUUGAGUGGCUAGAUGAAUAAUUUGAACAAUCAUCUCUUCCUGGUCUGCUGUCAGAUUUAAGGAUUAUAGCAGACACUGCUUGCCUUAAGGUUUUUUGUAGAAAGAAAUAAUUCUAUAUUUUUAAUGUCAAAUUUUUAAAAUGACAAUGUAGAACAUGCUACUCUGUCACAGCUUGGAAGUUUUUAAUGAUUAUUUUUAUAUUUUGUGUCAAACAAGAUUUUUAAAGUUGUUUUACUUUGACACAAUAUGUAACUGAUGGUAAAUACUGUUGUGAACAUGUAUACUCUGUAAAUAAUAAAAAAAAAAAUUCUUCUUUUACA
rnacentral:lncRNA from 1 species